CGUAACAAGGUCUCCGUUGGUGAACCAGCGGAGGGAUCAUUACUGAGUUUACGCUCUAUAACCCUUUGUGAACAUACCUAUAACUGUUGCUUCGGCGGGUAGGGUCCCCGUGACCCUCCCGGCCUCCCGCCCCCCGGGCGGGUCGGCGCCCGCCGGAGGAUAACCAAACUCUGAUUUAACGACGUUUCUUCUGAGUGGUACAAGCAAAUAAUCAAAACUUUUAACAACGGAUCUCUUGGUUCUGGCAUCGAUGAAGAACGCAGCGAAAUGCGAUAAGUAAUGUGAAUUGCAGAAUUCAGUGAAUCAUCGAAUCUUUGAACGCACAUUGCGCCCGCCAGCAUUCUGGCGGGCAUGCCUGUUCGAGCGUCAUUUCAACCCUCAAGCUCUGCUUGGUGUUGGGGCCCUACAGCUGAUGUAGGCCCUCAAAGGUAGUGGCGGACCCUCCCGGAGCCUCCUUUGCGUAGUAACUUUACGUCUCGCACUGGGAUCCGGAGGGACUCUUGCCGUAAAACCCCCAAUUUUCCAAAGGUUGACCUCGGAUCAGGUAGGAAUACCCGCUGAACUUAAGCAUAUCAAU
rnacentral:rRNA from 1 species